rnacentral:rRNA from 1 species
AUCAGGAGGUUAGUGCAAUGGCAUAAGCUAGCUUGACUGCGAGCGUGACGGCGCGAGCAGGUGCGAAAGCAGGUCAUAGUGAUCCGGUGGUUCUGAAUGGAAGGGCCAUCGCUCAACGGAUAAAAGGUACUCCGGGGAUAACAGGCUGAUACCGCCCAAGAGUUCAUAUCGACGGCGGUGUUUGGCACCUCGAUGUCGGCUCAUCACAUCCUGGGGCUGAAGUAGGUCCCAAGGGUAUGGCUGUUCGCCAUUUAAAGUGGUACGCGAGCUGGGUUUAGAACGUCGUGAGACAGUUCGGUCCCUAUCUGCCGUGGGCGCUGGAGAAUUGAGGGGGGCUGCUCCUAGUACGAGAGGACCGGAGUGGACGCAUCACUGGUGUUCGGGUUGUCAUGCCAAUGGCACUGCCCGGUAGCUAAAUGCGGAAGAGAUAAGUGCUGAAAGCAUCUAAGCACGAAACUUGCCCCGAGAUGAGUUCUCCCUGAGACUU